AUCCAGCUGACGAGUCCCAAAUAGAAGGAAACGCUUGUGUUGGAU
rnacentral:hammerhead_ribozyme from 1 species